rnacentral:tRNA from 1 species
GGGGCGCUAGCUCAAUCGGCCGAGCACCGGCCUUUUAAGCCGAGGGAUGAGGGUUCGACCCCCUCGCGCCCCACCC